CAGAUUUGAAAAUUAAAAACAAACAGAACAAGAAUCUCACCGAUACUCAUCUAUCAUCUAAAAAAAUCAAUAAAUAAUAAUCUGUUCUGUUACUGCGCUACUGUGUUGCGUACUGAAAAUAAGAAUCAAGUGAUUACUGACUAUCUGCUCAGAGAGCUCACUGUUCUAACCUUACGAUGAAGAAUCAAGCGAUGCAAGACUCGGUUCCAAUGAGGAUGUUGAUUUACUAUUUCCCUCAUUGCGUGAAGUCACGACCAGCCCCUCCACGCCCACGUUAAGACUAGACUAUGUUUUAAGAAGCUCGGCCCUUGAAGAGGGUAUUGAUCCUGUUCUCAGCUUUUUAUGAAUCCCAAGCAAAGAAGAUUAAAAAGUAGCUGCUUCAAAGUUUAUUUGCAAAGAUGACGUUUUUCUCCCGAGCUGAAAUAUAUUUGGAUCCAGUUUAUUAUCCUAUAGAAGUUACUAAUUGUUAAAUAGAGAGAAAAUGGUAUCUUAAAAAAAAUAAAAAUUAUCUUAGA